rnacentral:tRNA from 1 species
UCUAAUAUGGCAGAAAAUUAUGCAAUGAAUUUAAGAUUCAUUAAUAAAUAUUAUAUAUUUUUUUAGAA